GACGAACCGUGCGAACGUUGUUCGGAAUCACUGGGCUUAAAGGGCGCGUAGGCGGGCUGCCAAGUCAGGGGUGAAAGCCCACGGCUCAACCGUGGAAGUGCCUUUGAUACUGGCGGCCUUGAGGGAGGUAGGGGCGUGCGGAACUUCCGGUGGAGCGGUGAAAUGCGUAGAUAUCGGAAGGAACAUCAGUGGCGAAAGCGACUUCCUGGACCAAUACUGACGCUCAUGUGCGAAAGCGUGGGGAGCAAACAGG
rnacentral:rRNA from 1 species